rnacentral:rRNA from 1 species
AUGGCGCUGGCGUUCGACGAUUUCGGACGGCCCUUCAUCAUCCUGAGGGAGCAGGAGAGCAAGUCCCGCCUGCGGGGGCUCGACGCGCACAAGGCCAACGUCGCCGCCGGCAAGGCCGUCGCGCGCAGCCUCCGCACCUCCCUCGGCCCCAAGGGCAUGGACAAGAUUCUCCAGUCCCCCGACGGCGACGUCACCAUCACAAAUGACGGAGCGACGAUCCUGGAGCAAAUGGAUGUUGACAACCAGAUUGCAAAGCUUAUGGUGGAGCUUUCCCGUAGUCAAGACUAUGAAAUCGGGGAUGGUACUACCGGGGUGGUGGUCCUGGCAGGGUCGCUCCUGGAACAAGCUGAGAAACUGCUAGAGCGUGGUAUUCAACCGAUAAGAAUUGCCGAAGGAUAUGAAAUGGCUUCCAAGAUAGCUUUUGAUCACCUCGAACAUAUCUCCACUAGGUUUGAGUUCACUGCUGCAAAUAUAGAGCCCUUGGUGCAGACCUGCAUGACAACUCUGUCCUCAAAGAUUGUUAACCGUUGUAAGCGGAUGCUUGCUGAGAUUGCUGUCAGGGCAGUCCUUGCUGUUGCUGAUUUGGAAAGGAAGGAUGUAAACUUGGACUUGAUUAAAGUAGAUGGUAAAGUUGGUGGGAAGCUAGAGGACACUGAGCUAAUAUACGGAAUCGCUGUUGACAAAGAUAUGAGCCACCCACAAAUGCCAAAGAGAAUCGAGGAUGCUAAUAUUGCCAUCCUUACCUGCCCAUUUGAGCCCCCAAAGCCCAAUACAAAGCAUAAGGUUGACAUUGACACUGUAGAAAAAUUCCAGACGAUGCGUGGACAAGAGCAAAAAUACUUUGAUGAAAUGGUUCAGAAAUGCAAGGAUGUUGGUGCAACCUUAGUUAUCUGUCAGUGGGGUUUUGAUGAUGAAGCCAAUCAUUUGCUUAUGCAAAGAAAUCUGCCCGCUGUCAGAUGGGUUGGUGGUGUUGAAUUGGAAUUGAUUGCCAUAGCUACAGGGGGACGUAUUGUUCCAAGAUUCCAAGAGUUGACUCCUGAUAAGCUUGGGCAGGCUGGCUUGGUUAGAGAGAAGUCAUUUGGAACAACAAAGGAUCGAAUGCUUUGCAUUGAGAGAUGUGCAAAUUCCAGAGCUGUAACUAUCUUCAUCCGUGGCGGCAACAAAAUGAUGAUUGAGGAGGCCAAGUGA